UACGUAGGGGGCAAGCGUUGUCCGGAAUCAUUGGGCGUAAAGAGCGCGUAGGCGGCCCUGUAAGUCCGCUGUGAAAGUCAAGGGCUCAACCCUUGAAUGCCGGUGGAUACUGCAGGGCUAGAGUCCGGAAGAGGCGAGUGGAAUUCCUGGUGUAGCGGUGAAAUGCGCAGAUAUCAGGAGGAACACCGAUGGCGAAGGCAGCUCGCUGGGACGG
rnacentral:rRNA from 1 species